rnacentral:lncRNA from 1 species
CCGCCAGCAACCGCCGCCCCGUAGCAGUUCCGCCAUCGCCGGUUCGGCCACGGUGGUAAUUCCUCUGUUCGCCCCUGUUUCUCGGCCAGGGAGUAUGAAGUGCUUGAAGAUUAUUCGUUCAUUGGUCGUCAUCUCUGAUCCUCAGCCCGUCGUCAUGGAUGAUGUCUCCCUUUGAUCCGAUCGCUCUUUGCGGUGGACGUCAGCAAUUUCAAGGUAAUUAUCGUCUACGCUCUGUUUCGGUUGCUCUUCACGCGAAGCAGAGGCUCAGAGCUAUAUAGACAACUGUGAUUGAAGUUCUUUUUGAUAAUUUGAACUUUUAUUGUCGUUGAUUUGAUGAUCUAAAAGUGAAUCAUUUCUUUAAAUGUGCGCCGAAGCCCCUCAACUGUAAUGUAUGUCACCUGUUCGAUGAUUUACCUCACUGACCUCCAUAUUGAUUUACUCUCACCAUUGAUCAAUUAGGAAGUUACUGGUCCGACUUGAAUGUUACUGACCUUGCAACAUGAUAACCACUCCGUUCUAUAGAGUCCUUCAAUUUAGAUGGUCUGAUUUGUUCAGUUCGACUUUGAUUUUGACGAUUCGAUUCUUAUCAUGUUUGAUUGAGUUGUGCUUUCGCAAAUAACCUGCAUGAAUUUUUAGGAUGCACCUGGGGUUUUAAAAUGAACAAGACCACAUGAUUCAUGUCUUUAAAAUAAAACAAUUUUGGAUACCGAAAGAGGCUAACCAAAUGCUAGCACAAUCAAGUCCCCGACUCUAAAUUUCUUGUUUUGUAGGAUGAGAUUUUACUUGACUUUUAACCCAUUUCAAUAGAUUAGUGGCAACUUCCAUUAGGUAAAAUUAUCUCGUUAAUCAUUUGAAUAUAUCUCCCAAUGUUGCACGUGGUUAGGGUUUCAGAAAACCACACCAAGUAAGAGGAAGCACCUCGAUUAGAGUGAUUGCACGUUCCUACUCAACAGCAGGAUAAAAUUGCUUGGCUUGCUCGAGAGGGUCACGACAUUUAUAAAUUGUUGAUAAAUAUAUUAUUUCUAACAGUUCAUUUCAAAGUCUUUGAGUGUUAAAUUUACCCAAUUCGUUUCUCUUGAUUAACGUCAUGCGUAGAGUGGGCAAAACAAAGCUGGUCGAGCAGCAUAAACAGAUUGCUGGUGGCAAACAAAAUAAAGCCCUCUUAAAAUUAUAUAGAGCAAGAGCAUCUAGUCGGAGACUUGUAGAGAAGUUCUUCGAAAGGAUUGAUCAUGAUGUUCUCACUGUCUGCAGUCAUCGAAUACGGUAUUGACCGACAGAACUGAUAUUUGACCUUGAUUUUUGCUGACAUACCACAAUUGAUUUCAAUCGAGAGCCAAACUUGCAUAUUCUUAGUUUGUCAAAAGUUAAGUCUACAAGGAGCGGAACACAUCUAUUUGUUUUUUCCGCAUAAACACUGACUUGUAUAGCAAAGGGACUGUUUCAUGUGAUGCCAAGAAGAAGCAAUCAUGUGUUAGUCCAAAUACCUCAAUAUCACAUCGUAUAAGCAUAAACUAAAAUACGUUCUGUAUUACAAAUCUUGUUAUUCUUAGAAUAGGAUUCUAAGAAUAAUUAGAGCUGGUUUCAGCACAUGUUAGUUCACGCAGAAUAUUCGUUAAGAGUGUCUUGAAGCAUAUUGUUAACAAGGAUCACUGUACCAAAUUUCCGAUGUAUUAAGUUUCCUUUUUUCAAGAUGCUCCUCGCAUGACCCUCGAAGGAUCUCUUUUUUAUUUUCUCUAUCAACUCACCGACAAAAGAAAAAAUUUCAUAUUGCAAUUGGUACUUUUCGUGUUGGAUGUGGACACGCGCAAGAUUAAGCAGGAAAAUUGCCAGUAGCUGUCUGAAUUUGAUGGUUGGCAUUAUUCAAAGAUUAUUCAACUAAGUGAAAGUUCUAGAAAAAAAGGCCUUAAGCUUAAUUGCAGUCCAUAUUUUAUGCAAAAAAAUAAAAUAAAAAUGGUUGGCAUUAUGUGAAGACACCAGGGAAAGUUGUGGGAGAGAACUCUCUAGCCUAACAUAAACGAAAGUCAGUGCAACUCCUCAGUCCAUGGUUUUAGAUUAUAACUGUACUGCCGUGACAUCAAGGCAUGUGAGGAAUUUGUCUUCCAGACAUAUACUCUGUAGAUUUGGUUGAUCAAACCUAAGUAGGUCCCUUAAAAGGCCUAUGGAAAAACAAGGGGAAGAACCCCUCCGGGGUGAGAGAACCCAUGCCCCCAUAACAAAAAGAUGGAACUUACCCUAUGGUGGACUAGGUCAGCUUAUUGAUGUCGGGCUCUCUUUAAGGUGUUCUCGACGUAAAACUGAAGGGAUAAAGAAGGUACCACACCUCGAUAAUAUAUAAUUGCUAGGGAUCUCCGCAUAGGAUGUGGAUCUAGGCAAAUCCUUAUAAGGCCUACAGAGAAAUAAAGGGAAAAAAACCCUCUAUGGGAGUGUGACCCCUUAUGCCCCUAUUGCAAAAUGAUGGGGUAGGUCAACUGGUUAUUGUUAGCCUCUAUUUGAGGUGUCUUUUGCCGUUAAACUCAUGGGAUAGAUACAGCUCCCAUGCCUUGGGAAAUAUAGUGACUAGGGACCUCUCCAUAAGACCCGGCCUUAAAUUGCUUCAUCUAAAUAGCAUAUUUAUCUCGGGAGGAGGAAGAAAAAAUAUCUCCCCAAUUAGGGGCUUGAGGGACGCGAGCACUUAAAAUAAGGAACACAAUCCUAUCAAUUCACUAGGAUUACUUGGAGAAAAAGAAAUAAUACACCGUUUUCUGUCGUGCCUACCGUUGGGGCAUCGCGAGUGGUCCGGUUAGUUGAUGAUGGUUUGAUGCGAUUGUGCCACGUGGGAGAGACGUGGGUGAGAGAGAGAAUCACGCAUGCGCUGGUUUCUGAGGAACACCCGCCUGCUAUCGUGCCCACCGCUGAUCUGGUUUACCUGGUGAUGGUUCGAUGCGGUCGCGCCACAUGGAACCGUGAGCUUUGGUCAAUGGCUCGAUUCCGUGGGUCUUUUCAGGGGUCAAAUCGUUUGCGGUGGACGCGCUACAGAGGACAUGUAAGCCAAAAAUCGAAAAAUCAAAAAGCUCUUUUUGUAAAGUUUCUCUUAACUUAAACACAUCCUUAAUCUUCUUCCUAUUCCUGUAGAAGAACUUAAUUUUGUAUCCAAGACGCCUUCGUUGAUCAUUGUUUACUAUCAGAAGCAAACCUUUAAUUCCAGCACAAUCAAUCUAUCUAAAUGAAUCUACACUACGCUUCUCAAAAAGGCAAGUCAAUUUGAUUUCUUGCGCAUUGUUUUUUAAUAUAUUAUUGAGUAGAUAAAAUAGUUAGACAAUUUUUAAUUUUCUUUUUAACAUUGAUUUUUGAACUAUUGCUAUCAUGAUACACUUCUUAGGCCCGUAUACCACGCGAAAAUUUUCUGUCAAAAGAUAUUUUUAUUAAUUUUCAGCGUUUGAAUUGUUUAAGAAAAUGAGUUGAUAGAAAGUCUUUCAUUGUCAAUUGAAAAUAAUGCUUAUAUUCAGGAGAAUAAAUUCUUUUAGAAAUAAAAAAUUAUCUGCUAAAUUAUAACUAGACUCCAGCGCCUAGAUUAUUCUGACCAUUCCUUGAGAUUCUUUUGACUCUCUUGCCAAAUAUUUUUUUUAUCGAUCAAUGCUUGGUCUAAGAGUGGGUGGCCAUCUUCGCACAGCAUUUCUUAUUCUUUCUUAAAAAGAAAUUCUCAUAACAUGAGAAUCUAGCGAUAACUUUGAUUUAAAUAGAUUUGUGAUUAGAUUUCUUUUACUUGAAUAGUAAAAAUUUGCGUUUUCUUAGCUAAAUUUUUUCCUAGACUGCGUGGAGUGAUUUUAUUUUGCAUUUUAAAAGAGUUAAUCUUUAUUUGAGUGAUUAUAGUUUCUUCCCAUAGUUCUAUUUAUAAUAUAUUUAAUUAAUCCACUUUUUCUGUAUUUAGUUAGAGAAUAGAGAUCGCCUUCUUCAUUUUUAAAUUUCAGAUCAUAAUUGAUUACAUUCAUCCUUCGAAUUGUCUUAUUGCCAAAAACUUUUAUUCCAUGCAUGCGCACCCUUUUCAAAAAAUGAUCGGUCCAAUAAGUGGCGAGGUACGUGGCAAAUAGCGGUAGUUUUUGUUUUUUGGUGAUGGGCAAAUAGCGGUAGUUGAUCUUGUUAUACCCCAACAUUUGGCUCAUCAUACAACACGGGCUUUUAUUUAUUAGAAAUAAAUUGGUUGAAACUGACAUGUGAUCACACGACACAAGCAUAGUACAAACUCGACCAACUCGAGCAUCAACAUUUUUGAGCAGAUUGAGUGUGGGAUAUUUGAUGUCAUUUGGGUACUUAUUAUAGUAUUAUUGUCUAUGUUGCCACCUAAUCUACUUGGAGUAUUGCCAUCCAUUCGACAAUAUCUACUAAUUAAUGAUGUUAUUUCUUUCAUUUCUUUAUUAAUCUAUGACCUUGAAUGAAAUAACAGUUGAUUGGACAUUUAGAGGUAAAGUAUUGUUUUGGAGUCUCAAGAAUACCACUUGAUAACAUGUAUUUUAUAUAAAUCACACGACUCUUACUAAUUUUCAAAUGAACAAUUAACGGUUAGGGUAUUCGUGGUCAAAUUACAUUAAAUAUCGACCACGGUCUCCACAAAAAUGUCACAUUAUAAGGAGCUGCUCAAUAUCACAUUAUCGAAUCCAUCGUCUUCAACCUUGUGGAUUUCGACCCCAUCAUAUGGGAAAGUACAAUCUCCAUGAAGGAGAACGUUCUCAACCAAUUUUGGCUGCCGAGUUUGCAAUGAAGGGCAAGAGGAGGCCAUCCAGAAAAUUCUAGGGGGGCAGAUUGGUUAGGCCAAGGUGGGAUUGGAGGAGUGGAUUGAAAAUCUGCUGGUCCCAUUCUUUUCACCAACUCUGGACGUGGUCGCCUGCCACCAUCGGCAGGAGGCCGAAUGUUGACCUGACACAUAAUAAUAGUAAUGAUAAAUAGAAAAAUGUAAGUAAUAAAUACAUAAAUAAAAAGGAGGGCUUAAUUUGGUUUGGGCCUAGCUUUUAGAGCCUACUGAAGCAAAUGCCGAGCCUAGUUGCUGCCCAAAUCCACCGAACUCAGCAACUCAAGCCCAAUUCAUCCAGGCCCUAUCCGCUCAACAGUUCAGCCCAUUCCAUUCAUCAGAACGACUAGCUAAAACCCAUCGACUUUGGCUUUCUCGGACGUCAAGGAGCGACACAUAUUAAUGUUGAUUAGUGCCAUUUUCCGACAUUCUAGAUCUGCAAAUUCAUUGCUCUGUUCUUCUCUGUUUUCCCGACCGUGAAAUGCAAGGAGCUACUGUUCAAGCUUCAUAGCCAACGUAAAUCACAACCGGAGCUUCCUUUUGUUGCUAUGAUUUGCAACUACGAUCAGGACCUCUUUUUAUUUAGGUCAGACAUAAUCCCUUUCAGUGUUCUGUUUUGGAAAGAAUAGCUGAGACAUUAUAUUUUACAAAGAUCGAAAUCCAUUAGAUAUGAGUUGACUGCUGAUAUUGGUCUGAUUUGAGUCGAGAUUGUGAGUCAGAGUUCGAGAUAGCCACGAUUUGUUCCCCAUCUGGUAGAAGUUCGAUGAAAUGUCCAUGAAAACUCGGUGCAAGCUAGCUUCGUUUUUGGCUAAUCUGAAAGUAUAUUGACCUGGAUUAAAUGAUGUUACCCGAUUUUAAGUCAUGGAAAUAUGAUUUUAGCUAUUUUAUCACUGUCUUGCUCUGUCUUGUGUUCCAUGAAACAAUGGCGUUAAAUGUUGAAUAUCAACGAGAAAGCAGUCGGAGUUGAGGUCACGUUUAUGGAUUCUCCGAAAGCGUUUUGAGUCGGUUUCCUUGUGGCGGUUCUACUGCACAUUUUCAUUUGCUGCUUGUCAUGGCAAGCUGUGGUUUUGAGGUCAAAAGUGCAAUGAACAAUGGUGGCCGAAGGUUGACGGUGGUGGAAAACGUAUAUGGAUUAACGGUGGAAGUGUUUUUUUGUUCAUUCUUUAAUAUUUUAGAUUGCAAAUUCCCAUUUGUGUUUUGAGGAGUUCUAGGUCUUGCGAAGAAGACGAUUGUAAGUAAAAAAUAAAUAAAUAGGAAUAACAAUAGGAAAGUAGAAAAUGAAAGAAAAAAGUAUGAUAAUGGGCUUUUUAUGGUUAAAAUGGAAGAGUUGUUGUUAUGAAAUCCGAUUAUUUACGUGUGGACUAAACCCAAGAGUUCGGCCCGCGUCCUUGGAGUCCAAGUUUGACUCCACACACAGAUCAGCCUGUCCCCCUCUACCAUAAAUUAAAAAAUUAAUAAUUAAAUAAUUCCUUUAAAAAAUAUGGAAAUUGGUUAGAAAAAUAGGUCUUGAUUAGGUUCUUAGAUUUUAGUAUUAAAAUUUAAUUUUAUUUAUUUAGGUUCUGUUUAUUUCACGGAUAAAUAAAUGAUUUUGAAACAUUUUAUUAAAAAUGAUCAUUUAUAUCGUUCCAAAUACGUGUUGCCCAUGUAUAUUUUGAGCUAGCCAACCAAAAUGAUUGAUGAUAAUCAACAAUAGAUGCAGGGUAGAAUUUGCUUGGCUUAGUGUGUAAAUCCUUCGAAUUGCCAUCGAUAAUUUGGUAAAACAAGUUCCGUCAAAGUCAUGCACAUUCUGACAUUUUCAAGACGCACACUCCAAUACAAAUGUUAUGUCACUUUUGCCCUAUAAAAUUUACAACUUGCACAGUCUCGUAUGGUUUAUUUCAUUAGUCCCUAACCUUUUUAAAAAAUGCGAAAAGUAAUCAUUCAGGUGAUUGUACAGUGGAAAAUAAGACACAUCCUUUAUUGCUAGAACAUCGUUUUCUCUAACUUGGUGGGGGCGUGUAAGGCACAUUGACCUUAUGAUAUCAUUUGCUUAUUAUGUGGAGUUGUUGAUGUACCUUGCAUUUCCAAUGCUCCAGAUUUCAUAUUAUAACUAAUUAUAGUUUCAUAUGUGAUUCCAAAUGUGAAAACCAAUCCUUGAAUGGAACGGGGACAAUAUAGAUUGUCCAGUGAAUAUGGGCAAAAUGUGUUAAAUUAUGCACAAUGCAUGAUCGAAAAAAUAUUUGAUAUUAUUCAAGGAUACAUAUAGUAUCUGUAAAAGCACAACACAUCUUUGUGAAGUUUGUAUUUAUCACUACUUGUAGAUUCAUUCAGAGCCUUCAAUACCAAAUUUGGUCAGUUCGUUUCUCUUGCUUGGGGAUUGAGAAAUGUCAUGCGCAUAGGGGAGAUAACCAUUGGGAAAAACAAUUCUGGUCGAGGAGUAUAAACAGAUUGCUAAGGGCAAACAAAUCAAAGCCCUCCUAAAAUUGUCGAUAGCAAGAACACGUAGUUGCAGACUUGUAAUGAAAGUUCUUCGAAAUGAUUGAUCAUGAUGUUCCCAUUGUCUAUACUCGUCGAGUACAAUUCUAUGACGCUCAUCGAAUACGAUUCUAUGACAUUCCUUUGACAGCAUACAAUGCGAACAUUUGGUCCCUCAGAUUGCAAGUCAAAAAUCCUCGUCACAUGACUAGUUGUGACUCGCAUCCUACUAUGGUUCGUCCUUGUCUCGGCCAAGUUUGAAUGAAAGUUCUCCACCAACCGAUGACGAAAUUCCCCUGCAACGAUUCGGAGAUCCAAUAGGCAUGUCAAUACAAUUUCUCGUAUUUGCUUGCUUUUGGUAAUCAUCUAAUUGAGCAGUUAAUCGCCUCUAUCUUUCACUAGUACAUCUUGUCACGAAUGAAAUACGUCCCCUACGUUUUAGUGAAUGAUCAACAUGCAUAAAAACAAUAUAAGCAAAACAACAAUAAUUGAAGGUCCGUCUUACCAUCUUGCAACAAAAAAACAAAUGUGAUAACUAGGGUAAAACUGACAGAAGUAAUAUUGACCUUUAUUUUGCUGAUAUAUCAUAAGUGAAGAUAUUUCUUGGGAAAAAAAAAGUGAAGAUCUAAAAUAAAAAUCAAUUGCUUCUAAAAGGAAUCAACUCCUAAAUUUCGUGUCUAUCAUAUAAACUCAAUGUGUAAACUCAACGUGAAUAAUGUGUUAAAAAUAAUAUUCACCAAUCUUGCAUUAGCCACUAGGAUCGAUAUUAAGCAAAUAGAACACAUAUAUGUUAUAAAAGGCAGAACUAAUGCUGUUAAUAUUUCCCCUGUCUCCUUAACUGCAAAGAACUCAUCAGUUAGAUUUUUAAUUUUUAGCCUUCAGAAGAAUUUGGACAAUCAUGUAGAUUCAAACAAAAUAAACAAUUCUACGGGAACCGAAAAGUAUUGUACAUGCCUUUCUAUGGCGGGAGAAACAUUGAUGGAAGCACUACCGAAGUUUUCAUGAUAACGACAGAAACAUUCGAAGCUAAUUAAGAUAAAUGACAAUACGAAAGGUCAACAAUACUCGGAUUGAUUGAUCAGAACAACAUACACCAAAUUAUGACGAACGCUCAUAACCAACAAGCCGAAUACAGGUGGAGAAUUACACAAUCAGGAAUUAGCUACUCAAAAUCAUCCAAGUAUGACCCGUCUCCGAGUCAAUCCUUUCUUCGCCUGAGUACCACAACAAUGGUAUUUACUUAUCAGUGGUAUAGAUUAAAUGAGUGAUAAUGUGGAGAUCCAGUAACACGCGAGCCUGAGCCUGAGAGAAUGGCCGCCUCAUCUUCACUCCUCUCUCUUUUAUUCCCUCUUUCUUCCCGGACAUUCCGUUGCUUGUGCAUUCUGACUUUCUCCGUAGACGAACUCGCUCCUAAAUUUGGCAGCCAAAAAUUGUUAGCGAGCACUCGUCUGCUACUUUCCAAUUGAAUACAUUAGGGAAACUGGUCAAUGAUCUGCAACCGAUCAAUUUCAAUUCUGUGAGCUUCUCCAGUUCGUCCAAGCCCUCAAUUGCCAGAAGCUCUUCGCAUCCUCGAAUUUCCAAGGACUCAAGCUUUUUCAAACCCGAUAGAUCUUCUACACUUUCAAUCCUAGGACACGUGCAUAUUUCCAAUUGCUCCAACGACUGCACUGAACCAAGGCCAUGGAUCGCAGUUAUAUGUGGGCAAUAAGUCAGUCAACAGUUUCAACCUCUUCAGACUCGAAAGACCAGCAAAUCCCUCGAAGAGUUGUAACGGUGACACAUGGAAUUCAACCAACUGUUCAAGCACAUCUAGUUGAACUUCCUUCCAACGACAUUCAAAAAUGUGCAAACGUGUCAAUUAUCUGAAGUUGCAAUGAAAUGACAAACUGUUUCUUGAUUCAUGAUUUACUAGUAACAAUGUUGACAAAAAUGGUGGAAGGAACAUGAGGGGUUGUUGGCAUGGGCCAUCUUGGAAGAAUAAUGGACUGUUCUUAACGGGACCACUAUAGCUCAAAUCCACCAAGUUAGUUAGGUUUGAGAAAUUUGGGACCCACCACAGUGAACUUGAUCCAAAGCUUAGGCUUAUCAACGAUCGGUACGUACGGCACCCCGAUUGUUCUCUGCGGCUCUAUAUUUUCCAUCUUGCUGUUCCUGUUGGGUUUCCUUGAUCUUUGUUCUUCGAGUUUUGGUGUUUUUGAAUUCGGUCUGCUGGAGCGUUGACUGUGACCCAGAACGCCGAUAUCAGCGAUGAUCGAGUUUCUUUUCUUGUGCCUUAGCGAGCUCAGUGACUCGAUUGUUUGCCUGCUGAUUUUUCCGGGCCAUCGGUUUCUUGAAUUCGAGCCGUGUCGUUGCCUGUUCGGGGGAUGUGGUUCGUUAAUUCGGUGAUUGUGGAUUGCAUCGGGUUGGUGGAAGUCUUUCUAGAUUACACACUUGCUGCUGCGUAUCGGAUAGGCUGUAUUCUUUCGGGAUGUGUGACACAUUGGUCGGCUAGGGUGUUUGUUUUUUUUUCGGGAGUUGAAGAAUUAAAGAAAUCAUUUGAAUCUGUAUGCGAAACGUGGGAACGAUUAAAGCAAAUUACGCAUUUUGACCAAACCGUGAUUUUGAUGGAGCCAGUGAAUAGUUUCGACUUUUUACUCUGUUGGUAUGACAACUUGAUCUACUGAGCAUUUGAGAAAGAACAGAAUUUGUUUCUAAUGGAGCCAUUCAGAAAAUGUAGUUUGCAUAUGGCUGCAUGUGAUUCUUUUCAUGUAAAGCUCGGAAGGGUUUGAGCCUACUAGUGGGUGCUUCCCUUGAUAUUCUCCUCGCUUCAAUUAACGGCAGUGGGCAGCUAUUCUUCUUCACUUGAGCAAUGUUGGAAGUUUACAUCGAUCAAUCCUUACUCUGUGACAUUCUUUGUUUAUAUAGAUUGUUAAAAUUGGUUGCCUAAGUGCUUCAGAUGAUUCUCUUCUCAUGACAGUCUUGCAUUGGAUGGGGAAAUUGAUGUCUGAGAAAUUUAUAGACAUUAACACUAUGUGAAGUCCUUGAAAUUAUCUGUCCAACGAGUAAAGUCCUUGAAAUUAUAUUUCCAAUAAUUGGUAUCAGAAACACUGUUUAGCAUUGCGUUUUAGAACGAGGCAGUCCAUUACAUGAAAUAAACUUUCUUUGCUGUUGAAAUGAUUGUGUGGUUUGACAAGUCUUGAGGGGCUGUUUACAUGUCAGGACGAGGCAGUCCAUUACACGAAAUAAACUUUCUUUGCUGUUGAAAUGAUUGUGUGGAUUGACAAGUCUCGAGGGUAUGCUUGUUACUUCAAGUUGCUUAGACCCAUACGCCUACGCCAGACGCUUUAUGUAUGAUCCUAUUUAGAAGAUGUGGCACAUAUCAAAUAUCAAAAGGCCACCCAUAAAACGAAAGGUUUUUUGUAAGUCAAACAAAUAACUUGCUAUUAAUAUUGUCGACUAACAUUAAUAAGUGAUACCCAGUUAAUAUGAUUUUCUGGAGAUUUCUUUUCAAUUGGUGAAAGUGCCUAAAACCUACCAAGCGUGUUAUCCUUGAAAAUAGGCUCAGGCUACUUCAGCUCUCACUGUAGCCAACACUAAUUUGCUUUGAGUCACAAUGCUUUGCAUGCGUGACAAUGCGGUAGUAGUUUUGUUAUUGACUGACCAGAUGUAUUGCAGCAUGAGUUUGGGCCAGUUUGGUAAUAUGAUGAGAAAUGCACGUUCCAUAAGACUUGUGGGAGUUUUAAAGCGUUGCACAUCAAUAUUCCUUGUCUACAAUUAAGAAACCUUCAUAGCAACCACUGUGGAGUACGACACGCACGAUUGACAGAGGGAGUGGGGAGGGGGUGAGGGAGGGAGGUUUCUAGGUAGGCACAUCAUUUGUGCAUAUUUUUUGAGAUAUAUUCAAGCCUCAUCUUCUGUGCAUUUUCAGUGGUGAAACUUUUAGAGAGACUGAAGAUGGUGAAGGAGCUGACGUGAAUUGGCAUGUCAAUAUCUUGAUGACGUAGUUAUGUUUUCUGUUGUAUAUUACCUGACUUCCCCUUAUUCUCUGUAGUAAUUAAAUCUCUCAGUCUCACUACCUCCCAUUUCAUAUCACUGUUGUAGACUGGUUAAGCAAUUUAAUUCUGCUUUCAAAGAUAUGGGAUGCUCUGCAUGCAGCAGUAGAAGCAGAUCUUGUUGGGUUUUCAUGAAUCAUGUAUAAGAAAAAUUAACAAAAUUAACGCAACGGAAACAAAGAUAUAUUUUAUACAUGAUUCUUUUAAGGCGUUGUUCGUGCGUUUUAAUCGAAAAUCUGAAUAUAAAAAGGGUGUUAAACGAAUUACCUCUCGAAGCACGCUUGAAAUAAGUCGGUUCGGAUGUUCUACAGUUCGAGUCCCACAAGUGUCGGACCUCUAGUUUAGACACACCAACAACGAACAUCGAACGGAAGAGAGAACUUUCGGAUAUUCACCACAAUGAUCGUGUUAGCAAUCUCGUGGAAACAAUCUAUUGUAUUCUUGAUGUAUAAUAGUCACGGCCCGAACGAGAGAAUUGUUUUUCUUCCUUGUGUCUCGAAGACACAAGAACACACACACUUUUUGCUCUUUGUUUUCAGCAAAGCAUCACUCGUAUGUCUCUAAAAACACAAGACGCACGCCCAUAGAAAAUCUCUCUACGUUGCAACCUUUUUGCAGCCUUUUUAAAAUUUAUACACGAAUCAGCAACGGUUGCCGAUCGUGGGAACGGUAAGCAAUCGCUGACCGUUUAUGCACGAUUUCGUGCAUGAUGGUCAACGGUUGCUGACCAUCAUGCACGAAUUCGUGCGUGCAUGUGCACGUAUUCGUGUGAAGUGGUCAGCAAAAAUUGCUAACCAUUUCCACUUUAAUUAUUCAAUUAAUUAAUUGAUCAGCAAAAAUUGCUAACCAUUUCCACUUUAAUUAUUCAAUUAAUUAAUUAAUAAUUAAUCUGUCACGCCCCGAUCCUCGGUAUCGCCGACUAUUUUUUUUAUUAAGCACAUGCGGAAGCAGUUAUAAUCCCCAGACAAUAAAUACGAUAAGAUAGAAAAGCAAGGUCAUAUUUUUCAUAUUGAAACUUAUAACCAAACUUUUAUACAAAACACAAACCAUUCAUUUCCAUCAUUGGAAUUCCUUUUCCAUUCACACACCAUUCUCCCAUUUCUCUCCUUCCUCUUGGCUGCACACCACCAACCUUUCAAGUCAUUCAAGUUAGUUCUUGAGGUUUGCCAAGGUAAGUAAGAUCCCUAUGUCUCCUCUAAGGCGGUAGUUUCCAUUGUCAAGUCUAGUUAGGUGCUCAUCUAUCAAAGCCGUGGAUAUGAUGUUUAGUUUCCAUUGUCAAGUCUAGUUAGGUGCUCAUCUGUCAAAGCCGUGGAUAUGAUGUUGGAUCUUUUGUAUGGUUUUGCUUAUGUUUUUGCUUGAACAUGUGCUUGAGUCGUGUAUGUUCGGAAUGGAAUCAAGGUUCAUUCGAGUUGAGUUUAUCGCAAGGCAAGGUCGCCUCAUGCCAUAAAGCCUUGGUUUCAGCAUAACUAGGAUGCCGGGUCCAAGUCUCGCUUGGUGUGGGAAUCGCCCGAGGCUGCAAGGUCCUAAGUCGACAUUGAGGCGUGUCGAUCUUAUGCCUUGAUCGGUAAGGGGAUCGUCCAAAUCCAGGAGAUCUGGGUAAGGCACCAAGCAUGUCGAUUUCUAUAGCCCAAAUGGACGCAGGGACUUUGUGCUUGGCGUUAAAUGAAAGCACGAGUCGAGGGUCAUUCUUGAUGCAUGUGCAUUCACAUCGGGUUGGAGCCGAGGCCGUCAAGCUUGGGAUCUCAGUAAAGUGAGGUGUACCCAAGCCUCGAGGUCUUGGAUUAGUAUUGAGGCGUACCAUUUCCGAGCCUUGUCCGAUGUAGGGAUCGACGCUAAGUGGUUGAUUCGAGUUACGGACCAAAGGUCGCUCCCAAAACAUUUGUUAGCAAAGUAUGAGAAUUCAUGACACACACGAACGAAUGAGCACGCCUUCGGGCCAUACAUGUGUCGACUAAGAGAUAAAAUAAGAAUCCGCUUGUAUGAUGCAUUUAUGCAUGCACUUAAAGAGGAAAAGAUGCCUGUCAUCACACAGCAUUGGUGGCAAUGCCUCGAUUAAGCUAUGAUGCCUGGGUUUUGGACCCAGAAGCCUCGAGAAGCUAGCCCCGAGAAGCAUCAUUCGAGCCGAGUGGCCUUGGUUGAGUUAGGAAGCCUAGCAAGAAGCUGGAAGCCCCAGUUGAGUCAGGAGGGUCUGGUUGAGCUAGGACGACACCAAAUGAAUUUGCAUAAAUGCCGGUAUUUGCGUAAGUAUGAUAUGUUGGUAUAUUUAUUGAUAAGCCAAAAUUAAGUAUGCAUUGAAGCAUGUUGCAAUGGACAUUUGCAUGUAGUCAAGGGUAGCAACAAGUUUGCUAUUGAUCUGCCAUUGACGCUGUCUGCAAGUGUUGUACUUGUUAAGCUUCGAUGAUGAGAUGCUUUCCUAGUAGAGAACUAGGAAUUUUACUUAUUGAGUUUCCCCAAAACUCAUCCCUCAUCUUUCAGUCUAGUAGGCAUGGAAGUCUCAUGUCAAUAUUGAGAGCUGCAGUCACAUUAGAAGAGAUAAGACUUCCUUGGCCUAUGUGGAAAACGUGUACUGUGAUGUAAAAAAAAAAAGAGGGCCCGUAGAGAAAUGGGCUUUUAAAAGUACUAAUAUAAUAUAAGUCAGUGUGUUCAGUGUGAUGUAUGCCCUAGUCUUCUAGCUGUUGUUUGUCCGGAGAGUUAUUUGUUCACGUUUCUGCAUGUGCAUGAUAAUAAGAUAAAAAAAAUCGGCACAACGAUGAGUCCGGGAUAUCGCGAAAUAACCCUUGUCACUCGUGACCCUGGAGAUGGAGUUAGGGUCGUAACAUGUUGAGCAUUAAAAAAAAAAAGUAAAGUAAUAAAUUAAAAUAAUAAAUAUUAAUUUUUUUUUUAAAUUAUCUACAUCAGUACCGACUAAGCCAUGUUGGACGACAACAUCCAUGUCGGAUUUUCCGGCGAGGCAAAUCGGAAUUAGCACUCAAGUGAUCAAUUUUUCAAAUUUGUGACACUCAAAUGAGCGAUUUUUUUUUUUUGGCACUUAAGUGAGUACCGUACGAAAAUUUUAGCAUUCUUAGUGUUCUUAUCCCCAAACUAUUUCUUAUCUAGAUUUGAAGGAACAUACAACUAGAGAUGGUAUAAGAGAUUCCACAAGGAAUGACCCAAGCUAUUUUAUCUAGAUUUGAAGGAACAUACAACCAAAGAUGGUAUAAGGGAUUCCACAAGGAAUGAGUUUCCCUUUUGUAGGCAUCAAAUAAUAGGCACAGACAUCACAAAGUUCAAAAACACUACUAGCAAAGUUAAUCAUGAAAAGCAUAUAACAGGGGCUUGUUUAGUUCAAGUUUGACCUCAAUUAGUGCAUUCCAGUGUUACUUCUUUGCAGACUAUACUCUUCCUGACUAAUAAAGGAGUUAACCCAAACAUUAUGAACUCCAAAAGUGUCAUAGCACUUGCCUUAUUAACACAAGGCGAAAGCGUGGAAAGAGCCUCCGAGAUUGUGGAUUAUGUUCCUCAAACUCUAGAGAAUCACGAGCCAUCCAAAUGAAUAUUCUAUGCGGAUAACAUGGUCACCGCCUCUCAUCACCUGUAGGGAAAGAAAACAAAAGGAAAAGAAAGCAAAAAUGGCAAAACAAUAUGAAUAAGACGCUAACGAUGAUGGCAAUAUUAUUAGCGACCGUGGCAUUCCAAGCAGGUAUGACCCCACCUGGUGGUAUUUGGCAAUAUCAUUUCGACGGCAAUGAAAAGCAUCCGCACAUAUUGCGGGCGACUCUCUAAUGGCUCAAAGAUACCCGGAUGAGUACUCCAUGUUCAUAGCUUGUAACAUGAUUAGCUUUGUCGAAUCGCUUAGCAUCAUUAUGCUUCUCAUAAGUGGUAUUCCUUUAACGCAGCGUCGGAUCUUCAUGGGAUUACAAUGUUGACCAUGUGGGUUGCGAUAACCUUCACAGCGGCGACUUCUGCAAUCUCCAUAUUAGUAUUCACACGGAACAACAAAAGGAAUACUGCAUAUCAAAUAGUUGGGAUUGUAGUGUUGGUGUGAGCUAUAUUGAUGGCUCUUCUUUUCAAGUGCCACCUUGUAUGCUUGAUCUUGAAAUUGUUAUGCAAAGUCCUGAAAGUGAUACUCAAAGUCCUGAAGUUCAUCUGCAAUGCCUUGAAGAAACAGAAGCGAGAGGAUGUUAUAGUUUAGUGGUUGUAUAUCACUACAAAUGUGUUUAUCCCAAAAGAAGUGCACUAAGCCGUGAGACCAUGAAAGAUUAGAUUCUUUAUAGUACGUGCCAUUCAGUGUGCCGACCAUACAAAGUAUCGACAAUAUAUUAGAGAAUGCAUGUAUGUGUGUAUGUGCUUGUGAAGAUAAUAAAUGUUUAGAGUGUGUUUAAUGUAAGUAAAAGAUGGGGUUUACAAGUAUAAUGGAUGGAUGUUUUACUUGAUUUGACUUGUGGCGGUUACAACUAAGGAAACCCACCGCAGCAGAAUGUACCGAAUUAGUGCGUGUAGAGUGUGACAUUGGAUGUAAAGUCAAAAUGAAAAAAAAAUCUUGGCCAUUGGGAUCGAUUUUGUGUAGCCGGGCUGGUCAAAGCGGUAAGUUAUUGACGUUGUAGAAUUGUAAGUUUUAUCAUUAGUUGGGGGAAAUUAUGACAAUCAAGGAUUAUUACUUAUGGACAUGCUCCGUUGAUUAUGGACUUGAAAGAAAUGUUGUGAUCGUUUAAGUAAGUUACUAAGAAUAGACAUUGUUUGCAUUUGGUCUAUGUAAGUUGACAUGUCGUGUUUAGGAAAUUGAGGAAGGCACCAAGGGACCAAUUGUUGGCAACACUGUUUGCAUUUGGUCUAUGUAAGCCAAGUUCACACGUUCAUAUAUGUCCAUAUUUGUAAGGAAAGGUAAGGACCGGUGUUGAUAUAUCCCUGAUUAUUCGGUGAAAUUAUCGCAGAGAAUUAUGGUCUUUGAUCUUAGCCAGUCAUGUCUUAAAUUGUGUGAAAAAUGCCUGUCCGUCGUUUAAGGGAAGAACAUAGUUGCAAUGAAGCAUUGUGACAAUAGCGAAUUUCAAAGGACGUCAAGUCACAAGGGGACAUGUUGAGACUCACCACCUCUCCCUCUUCCAUUUUCCAAAUCUCUCUCUAUGGUUCUCUGAUCACGAAAAUUUUUCAUGAACUGGACAUCAAAAUCCCAAGAAAGUUGAGCAAAUUUCAAUUACCUUCGUUGGAGAUAGAUAAGCAAAUGAUACGGAAGAUGAGUUCAGGCACACCACUGAAAGUUGGAAAAAUAAAAAUGAUAGACUUCUGAAAGUAGAUGUCAAUGAAAUUGUGUAAGACCCAGUUGAUCACCCCAUCAAGAGAAGAAGGAUUGCUGAACAGAGACGAACCUCUCAAGUCUUUCUAUAAAGGCUUAAUGCAGUGGCUGAGUCAGAAGAAGACACGGUUUAUUUGGAUGAUAUCAAUAAUGCAUCUCAACUUAACUCUGAAGAUGAUGUUGAAGAAGCAAUUGAAGCAAAAGGAGAAAUAGGGAUAGGAAUAGCAAUUGAUUAGACAGAGGAAGUCAUUACUAUAGAACAACAACAAAAGGAUGUUGAGGAUUGACUCCGACCAACUAAUGAUCAAGUUAGUAUGAUAAAUGUUGAUGUCACGCCCCGAACCUCGAGUGUGCGUACAUCCCUCGAUGGUCGAUGAAAUUGCAACAUUCUAGGACGCGUCGCCGACCCAUUCAUUUUAUUGCACAUGCGGAAGCGAAUAAAAAAAUCUCCUAACAGUAAACAACAUGUGAUAGAAAAGCAAGAUAACAAAUUCACAACCAAAACACACUUUUAUAAACAAACAAGUUUAUAUACAAAACUAGUCUGUCUACCAAAAAUGUCGGCCCUCAAAAAGGAAAUUGUCCCACAACCCACUAGUCGAAUAUGUUCAUCGAUCCUUCAGACUCCAUAGGCUCCAGGGGCACUGGGUCCACCACAGCACCAUCAAGAGGGUCAGCUGCACCCUCGCCAAAAGCGGCGUCGACUACCACAGCAAGGAUCUCAAAACCCUAGAUGGGACCAACUCUAUAUUCAUUGAGCUUGCGGCGAAACCACGCUCUAAAUCAAUGAGGUACCCUCUGAGGUAGGCCCUCAUCGACCUAGACGGUGGUCACUACGAGCUCAUAGACCCAGUGGCCUCCGGGACUAGGGAAGUUAGUAAUCAGCUCAGUAACCCUCUGAGGCUGACCAUAAUGUACCGGAGGGGCCGCCAUCUAAGGACCUGAAAAGAUUGAGCCCACGACGGGGUGAGACAACGUCUCAGUAAGUCCACCCCCUGAACUCCGGCUAGGAAGAAAAUACGCCUAGGGGCGUCCUAAUCACACAACCGCACAAUCACAGAGACUCACCUUAUCUCAGAUCCUCCCUACAGGUCAGCACAAUUCAAAUAUACAACCAUAUGCAGUAAUCAAACUCAAUCAAUUGGAACACCACCACUUUCAUCUUAGUUAAUACAAGGGUCCCGAUUAUAAGGCCAAAUUGUUAUGACACGUCUCAUACCGUGCCAUACAAUUUUUGUCCCAUAAUCAGGCGCAUCAAUUUCACCUAACAUGCGUUCCAAUUUUUAAUCAUGGCCCAAUGGGCACGGCCUACUCAACAUUCGGCAGUCUUCUGGUGUAACUAGGUAUCGUCUCACCCCACUGAGCACGACAACAUCUACACGAGACGGUAUUCCACAAAGGAGCAUCGGUCCAGAAUCUACUGCUACCGGCAUCUGUUGACGAGGGGCAUCCCAUAUAGGGGCACGUCCACCCGACUCAUUUCAGGGAUGGGUUCUCUUAACCAACACACGAUCAUUCAAUCUCGACCAAGGACACCGUGCAUUGCACUCAAAUGCCUCGAUUAAAAUAGUGAACUUGGCCUUUUUUCUUCAUAUUAAAAAUACACGGUAAAAUAAUCGUGUGUGGGUACAAGGUCAAUUUAAACCAGAAAAAUUGAUGCCCUUCCUUUUAAAAUCCCACUAAUUAAUAUAGUCUUUAAAACCAUUUUCGGUGUUAAAACCCAACACCUGAGAUUUUCUAAUUAAAUAGCAAAAUUUCACAAUUUUGGAAUAAAUAACCAAAAUUCAAAUCACCACUCAAUUGCAUAAACUAAGUACACCACUGCAAUUAGCACGAAAUUCCAGUCAUCGGCUAUCCCGGUAUAAUUUCUGGAAAAUAAUAAAUGAUUAAAUAAAUUACAAAAAUAAUUCAAUAAUGCAAUUUAAAUACAAUAAAUACCAACUUAGGCCGAAAACGCUAAUCUAACCACCUAAACAGGCCUAGAAAAUUUCUGAACCUAUCUAGAUAAAUAGUACAAUAUAUCCAGCCUUUAAUUAGUCUAUUCUAACCACCCAACAUGCAUAAUUAAACCAUUAAAUUACUAAUAUAAACUAACUAACCACAUAAUCCCUAAUUAGCCUAAACUAAUUAUCCACUAAGCGGCAUUAACUCCAUAAGCAGAGUUUAGCAAGUAAACUCAUUGGUUUAGCAGGCCAGUGAGUCCACGGCAAUGGCGACGCGGAGGUGAGCAACACUUGAGCCUGCGGCAACACCAACAGAGGUCUGGACGGGCCUUAAAAUGGGCCUAGAAGUCCUCGGCUGGGCUAAGCUUUGGCCUUUGGUCACGGCUGAAGGAGGCGGCUCGGCUUGGCUACGGUGGCUUAAAAACAAACCAGGCAGGCAGUAGCGGCUGCAGCGGGUGACGAUGGAGGCAGACGGCGGGUAGACGGCGAUGGAUGGCUGCCAAGCGAGCUUGGGUUGACGGCCUGGGAGUGGACGACAACAAUGGACCGUGUGAUGAUCGCGAACGGGUGGACGAGCGGUGUGCGACUUGCAGGCGGCAGCGAUGGCACUCGAACGGCAGUAGGGGGCGAUCAACGGGCAAGGGCUACUUGGUUCGGUUUCUCUGGAUUUAUUUGAGCUUUCAAAACACUCAACAAUGGAGAAAGGAGGGAAGUAAAGGAAGAAGAAGGUAGCAGCUGCCAAUGGGGACCCAAUAUACCCCAAAAGCCUUCACAAACUAUCCAUUUCAUCAUCACUUGUCCCCACCAGCCAUCAGCCCUAUCCCUCGCCUCUUUUCCUUCACAAAACUUCCCCAAUAAGCCAUUGAAAAGGUCCAAAAUGUUGUUACCCCCGGCCUACGAAUUUUGGACCAUUUCCCUCAAAAUCCACUUCAAUUCUUCUCCAAUUGAGCUCAAAUUGGAGUCCAAAAAUUCAGCCAAGGUGCUAUCAUCCAUCUCAUGAUUUUUCCUUGUCAAUUGAACCAACUCGAUGGCCGAAAUUACGACAAAAAAUAGUCCCUCGAAUUUCCCAGUCCAAAAUAGCCUUAUUUUGAAUUUUCACCGAAAUCUCGGAUUUGCAGAAAAAUCUUCGAAGGAUGAGUCAACAUUCUUAAAAUGAAUCGUGACAUGACAAAACUUUCAAUUUCUGAAAUCGGGUUUAAAUUUGCGGUUAAUUUCAACUGGGCGCGAUUUUAGCGUGACCAAGCAUUCCGAGUAGCUUUUAGGAAUUUUUAGUUUAAUUGACCCGUGGUCGAUUAUUUUUUAGCCACAUUGUGCAUCUUCAACUCAUUGGCGACUUUCAGUUGUCGUGAAAAUCUCGAGGUUUCAAAUACGGGCACAGGGUACAGAAAUGACAAAAAAAUCAAUUUAGUGUCGUUCGACAAGAAUUUUGCAAUUAGGUUAAAUCAUCCACACUUCAAUCACAUACCUCAGUUGAACCGACCUAUCUCUGAUCUCUGAUGGGUUUUGAUAGUGCCGUAUUGACCUUUGCCGAUUAGCACGGUCAAGCAGUCGAUUUCUGGUUGAAUUUUCAAGUCUAAUGCGUUAAAAUCCUUUAACGGCUUCACUAGAUAGACUAGUUAUCUCAUGAGUGAUCAACUCAGAGAAAAAGGCUAUAGGCGCAUCGAUGAAAAGCCUGACUCAUUCAAUUGAAAACAAAAUUGGAAAAUCAGGAUGUCACAGUUGAUCUCACUCAAGACCCAGAGAGUGUUGACUAUGUUGCUGAGCAUCAGGAGUCUGCUAGAGACCAAGACAUCACUGAGCAUCAAGCACCUACUCAGGAUCAAAUCAUUGUUGGAGAGCAGGGUUUAGUCUCAAUUAUAGGUGCUACUGAAGCUGAAUCCUCUCAAAUUAUAACAUCAAUCCAAGGGGAGCUUGAUCAUGCCGAAGAUCUUAUUGAGCCUCUCCCUAAAAACAUUCCCACAAACUCCACGAAUGCUGCUAAGAAAGGAGUUGUUGACAAUGCCAAUGUUGUUCAAGAAGGUCGAGAAUUACAUAAUGCAAUGAUUGAGGCUCUUUCUGAUCUUCAGAUUCUCAAGAAAUCCGUGUAGACACCAAUUUGGCUCCAAAACCUACUGUUGAUGAUGCUCCUGUUGUUGAAUUACCUUCCAUCCCCGCUGGAACUCCUGGCCUUACUUAGUGAGCAAAUUGCUAAUCCUACUCAUUCUUCUGACUUGGUUGUUCAGGAUAAAGGGAAAGGAGUUGCAAGUGUUGAGAGGGAGUCUAAAACUGCUAGACAAAGGCAAGAUGACAUCAAUAUGGUGAUAAAACUUGCAUUAGAAACUGACCCUUCAAGAAUUCCUGCUAUUGAUAGCACUGAAGACAAGCUGUUUUUACGAACUCUACUCAGAAUGAUAGAGCAUAAGGACAAGAUGGAGAACGAGCUGAAGAAUUUAACUAUCUUUCUCAGAACUCAGGUUGAAGCGUUGGACAACAUAAUGACAAUAAUCGAGCGUAUUCUGGAUAAUAUGCGGUACUAUGUUCUUGUUUAACUGCCUUAAAACAUAGAUUUUCAUCUCCUACUUCGGCUCCAUCUCCAACUCCCAUUCUAGACCUUGACCCAAACCAACCAUCCUCCUCCAAAUAAUUUUCUAUGUUUGCAUUAUUUCUCGAAGUUUUGAUUGUUUUGUCAUUUGAUUUGUAAUGUUUGUAGAUCUUUUUUGUUGGACUAACCUUCAUAUUUUGGUUUGUCUAUUAUAUUAUGCUAUAUCUAGUAUCUUUUUUAUUUUUGACAAAAAGGCGAAGAAGGACCAACAGAUCUGAAGAUACAAACUUUAUUGCACUAAUGUUACUUACAGAGGUUUUUCAAAGACUCUGAACUUGCAAAAGUUAAGGGGAUUGGUUAUAAAUUGUUCUUAUCCCUUAUCUUUUAUUUUCAGAGCUUUAGCUUUAAGAAUCUUGCCAAAUUUUCAUUUAAAUAUUCUUAUGAUUUAACUACGCAUCAUUUUCAUAUCUGACUUUAAUCAAGAGCAAUUUAAAUAUCAAAUUUUUUUUAUCUCUUUAAGAAGUUUUGCUUGAACAAAUUUUCUCAUUAUCAAAAAGGGGGAGAUUGUUGAGAAAACAUUCCCUAAGCUGUUUUGAUGACUGACAAAACUUAGCGACGUUGAUUCUAUUAUAGACUAUUUUCAGGUGGAAAGUUCGAUUAGACAUGAUCAAACGAUGUUGAUCAGAAUCAGAGUCAUGAUUUAUUCUUCAUUCCUUACAUAUUAUGUCAAACAGCUAGGAAAGAGUCAUAUACACUCGUGCAACAGCUAGUGGCGACUGGUUAAAUUCUUUGCCAUAUUUAUAAAGAGUUUCAAAAGAAAAAUCUUCCUAAUAUUAAUGGAGAUUCAACCUUCCUGGAAUUUCUCACUAAAGACAAAACAUUCUUUCCAUUCGUAAAUACCCAAUUUUUGGAAAUUCGAACUGUUGUAUGGGCAGUAGAACAUAUGGGAAGCUCCACUCUCGGCGAUCCUGAAGCAAUUAGAUCUUCUCAACCGGAUCUAGGACCAAUGGGUAGAUUGGCUGGAUAAUCCUCCUAGAGAUAUAUCCAACGGUCAAAAUGGACUAGAAGGAGUAUAAGAGGAGGUUUCGAAGUUGAAGGAAAUAGAAUUCGCAUUCAUGAGAAUUUCGAAGCUUUUAAUCUCAAAGUUUGAAGAGUGUUUUGUAAUAUUAUACAUUCGUCUCUGUGAGCAUCAUUGUGUAACCAAUUAGAGGUCAAGAGUGUAUGAGGAGUGAUACACAUGAGCUUGAGCCUAGAUAGCUCAGAUCUUGUAACAUUCAAUUGGUUCUUAUUAGUGGAUUCCCGCCAAUUGGCUGUAGCGCAAGAGAAUGGACGCAAGCUUGCAAAAGCUGAACCACUAUUAUUCCUUUUAUUUAUUGUGAUAGAAUUAUAUACCGGCAAGAUUUGACCACUUCACCAGAAGUUGUCUUGUUGCAAUAUUUGUUUAAAUUCUUUCACUUCCACAUAGUUAUCUAUUCAUCCCCCUCUAGGUGAUAGUUUUAGCUAUAACACCAUCCAUGAAGAGGCCAAUGCAGCUGGGCACCUGCUUGAAGUCUCGAGAUUAGAAGGGGAAAAUAAAACUUAAUGCCUUCAGAUGUGUGCUCUGAAGGGCUAAUACGCUGCUGUGAACAUAGUGACAUAAGAGAAGUCCUCACCGUAGCCAUCGAAAUGAUGGACAGGAUAAAAAUCCACAGCAUGGGGUCGCCCAACCAAACAUGCCUUAAUACGUCCCCAGCAAUGGGCGCGGCGGCUCUCCAUCCUCCUAAUGUACAUUGCUCGCCACCUCUGUUGUUAAAAGAUUGAAUGUCAAAAUAAAAAGAUCACGUGCCAAUGAAAUUUCUAUAUAGGUCAUGAGAGGAAGAAUCGGGACUUUCUCAAAAGUUCUUCGCAAUAUUUUCUGAAUGCAGGGGAGCAAGUGAUCCGGGUAUGUAACAUGCUUAAUUUUGUCACAUGACUUGGUUUUCUUGCUCUUACUUUCCGGGACAGAACUUAGUAGGGCAAAUUGAUUCAGACUACUUUGGCUUUCCCUUUUCCAAUUUACGAUCAUUUCUUUUUGCUGAUCAAACCUCUAAGUAUAUGAUUCUUUUCGUAGACCCACGACAUGCAUAAAAACACACCGCUGUUCAAACAAAAAUGGGCAAUCUAAUGGAAAGCAAGACUGCUGUUUUCUCAUUGUGCUUAACUUUUUUGCUAGCUUGAAAUCAUUUGCGACUAUUUCGGUGGAAAGACUUAAUGCACUAAUGACGCUAUCACUCGUUUCAAGCAUCGCCCUAACAGAAUUGCUGAUUUGCGGAAGCGUGAUGUUGAUACUGCUUGAUAGUUUGCAAUUUGAAUGUGCAAGUGUAUAUGUAUGUGGGAGAUAUUUGGCAGAGAAGGACAAGGAAUAAGGAGACAGCCGUUUGUUGAAUGAUAUGGGAGGAGGAAAUAUUAUUUUAUUAGUUUAUAGAAAUGAUUUUACAAAAGACGUUGGCGGAGUAGAUUAAGAGAUAAAAGCUUUAUAAGCUCUCCUCCCCACUUAUCUCCACGAUCAAUCCAAGCUCUAUCUAAAGAGCACGUCCACUGCCUCAGAAGAUUUUCACCACAAUUGCCAACUCUAAUUAAGCUAGAAUCACAAACUUUACCUUCCUCCCAAGAAUAGAUUUUUCGUACGAUACAUAUAGUGUUCUCUAGUAUUCACAGAUAUUUCUGCAUGCUAGACCAUUCACAAAUUCCAACAAUCCAGAAAGUUGAAUAAUCUUGCUAAAGAAUUAGGUAAUGUGCAGGCUCAAAUAAGACUAUAACAGGAGCUCCGAUUGUUUGGGCGAAAAGGCAAGGAAUGGUGUUGACAUGUCUCUGAUUGUUCGACGAAACUACUGUAGAGAAUUGUGGUAUUUUAUCUUGGCCAACCACGUCUGAGGAUUGUGCCAAAAAAGUCUGGUCGUGGGCUGAGGGAAGAACAUCGUUGCAAUUAAGCAAUGCGAGAGAAGCGACAAUCAAAGGAAUCUUCAGUGCAAUUUACAGCGAGGACUUUCGAACAAAUUAUAAUUCGUUUCCACACAAGCAAAGUCAAAGAAGAGACUGCGGUCUUUUUUUUAAUGUACAUGACCGGUCUGCGCUGCCAAGUAUGACAAGGUCUAUAGAGCUGCCAGCGACAUCUACCAAGCGUUUGUAUUCCGAAACAUCCGAGGCGUUUCAUCUAAAUGAGAAAACCAUUCCUAUGGUAGCUUGGCGUCAGUAUAUAGUCAGGCCCCCAAAUGGAGUAGUUAAUAUUCCCAAAGUCCCAUUUUAGAGAGCCCAACAUGGAGUCUGAAAUUUACGAAGCCGCUGUGAAAGGAAAUGUGCAUUCUUUGCGUCAGUUGCUUGGAAAAGAUAAGCUACCUCUUGACCGAAUCAUGAUCGGGAAUCUUCAGUGCAAUUUACAGCGAGGACUUUCGAACAAAUUAUAAUUCGUUUCCACACAAGCAAGGUCAAAGAAGAGACUGCGGUCUUUUUAUAAUGUACAUGACCGGUCUGCGCUGCCAAGUAUGACAAGGUCUAUAGAGCUGCCAGCGACAUCUACCAAGCGUUUGUAUUCCGAAACAUCCGAGGCGUUUCAUCUAAAUGAGAAAACCAUUCCUAUGGUAGCUUGGCGUCAGUAUAUAGUCAGGCCCCCAAAUGGAGUAGUUAAUAUUCCCAAAGUCCCAUUUUAGAGAGCCCAACAUGGAGUCUGAAAUUUACGAAGCCGCUGUGAAAGGAAAUGUGCAUUCUUUGCGUCAGUUGCUUGGAAAAGAUAAGCUACCUCUUGACCGAAUCAUGAUCGGGAAUCUUCAGUGCAAUUUACAAAGAGGACUUUCGAACAAAUUAUAAUUCGUUUACACACAAGCAAGGUCAAAGAAGAGACUGCGGUCUUUUUAUAAUGUACAUGACCGGUCUGCGCUGCCAAGUAUGACUAGGUCUAUAGAGCUGCCAGCGACAUCUACCAAGCGUUUGUAUUCCGAAACAUCCGAGGCGUUUCAUCUAAACGAGAAAACCAUUCCUAUGGUGGCUUGGCGUCAGUAUAUAGUCAAGCCCCCAAAUGGAGUAGUUAAUAUUCCCAAAGUUCCAUUUUAGAGAGCCCAACAUGGAGUCUGAAAUUUACGAAGCCGCUGUGAAAGGAAAUGUGCAUUCUUUGCGUCAAUUGCUUGGAAAAGAUAAGCUACUUCUUGACCGAAUCAUGAUCGGGAAUCACACUGAGACUCCUCUGCACAUCGCAGCCAUGCUCGGACACCUGGAAUUCGUGGAAGAGGUCCUAGCUCGGAAGGCUGAGCUAGCAAGAGAGCAAGAUUCUCAGAGAUCUACGCCUCUUCAUCUUGCGGCAGCAAAAGGGUACCUUAACAUAGUGACAAACUUGUUAAGAGUCAACCCUGAAAUAUGUUUCGUCCGUGACAAAUACGAAAGAAACCCUCUUCAUGUCGCAGCCAUGAAAGGCCAUGUGGAUGUGUUGGAAUUCUUGGUUAGAGCAAGACCCGAUGCAGCCCAUAGUGUCAUCGAACAUGGCCAGACAAUCUUGCAUUUAUGCGUGAAGCAUAAUAGAUUUGAAGCUUUGAAGCUUUUGAUGGAUAUCUUGGGCGAUGAUCAGUUCAUCAACAUGAGGGAUGAAUAUGGCGACACAAUUUUGCAUUUGGCUGCUUCAGAUAGACAAACUAAGGUAUGUUCACCCAACCAACCAAGUUUCUGUACUAGUCAAAUUCAAGGAGCUUAUCAACCAAAAAAGGAGGUUUUAGGAUGUAAUGACAUCUUUGCACUUUUAAUUUGUUUGAAAUGAUCCUUAAACAAUACAUAAACGUUCGAUUUAGUCCCCAAAUUUCAAUUUAUAUGAUAUAGUCUCUCGAUUUUUCAUAACAAAGUCAAAUAAGUCAUUCGAUACAAUUUACAAAUUUUCACAAUGGCACAAUUGCCUAGAUUUUAGAAUAUCUUUUCAUUUCAAUCAAAGUUCCCAAAUCGAUAAGAAAAAUAUUUUGUCUUUUUAUUAUCUCUUUACCUUGUCAAAUAUUACUAUAGUUCAAUUUUAGUGUAUUUUAACUUAUAAUCUCUAUAAUAGUAAAAAGGUUAGAGUUAUAUCGGAUACAUAAUCCUUUCAACUUUAAAAUGAGUAUUUUCCUAAUAAUAUUCAACAACGAUAAUCAUAUAUAUAUAGAGAAUUUUUGUAGUUAUAUUACUCUAAAUCUCGUUCCUAAUUUUUUGAUAGAUUAAAAAUUCAAUUUUUUUCCUUCAUUUAAUAAAUCAGGAAAUUAAAAUAGCAGGAAUAUCAACCCAAUACAACAUUAAAUAAGAUUCCACUUUUGCUACAUGGGGUCAAAGUAAAUGGACUAUUUGUGUUAUUUUCCUUUCUAGGAUAUCUAAGUGUCCUAGAAAUUUUUGAAAGCCAAAUGGCCUCCAUUUAGAAAUCAUUGAAGGUUAUGAUAUUUGGAAAAAAAAACCAGCACCGAUAAUUAACGAUAACUUUACAUUUCACACUAUUUUCAUGCUAAUUUUAUCUAGAUCAGAAGGAACAAAAAACUAGAGAUAUCAGAAUAGAUUCAAUAGGGGAUGGGUUUCCCUUGUGAAGGCAUCAGAUAAUAUUCACAAACACUACAAGACUGAAAAAACAGUUGUUUCAAGGUUCAUUUUGAAAUAGAUAUAACAUGGGCUUGUCUAGUUCAAAUCUGACUCCAAUUGGUACAUUAUGUUGUUACUCCUUUGCAGACUAUAGUCUUCCUGCUUCAGAAAGGAGUAAAUCCGAACAUUACUAACUCUAGAGGUCUCACAGCACUCGGCCUAUUAGCACAAGGCGAAAGCACGGGAAGAACCUCGGAGAUUAAGAAUUCUCUUCCUCGAACUUUAGAGAAUCAUGAGCCAUCCAAACGAUUAGUCUAUGAAAAUAACACGAUCACCACCUUGCAUUCACCUAUAGGAGAAGAGGACAAAAGGGAACAAUAGGACAAAAGGGAACAAAAGGACAAAAGGGAACAAAAGAGAAAGUGGCAAACCAGUAUGCAUAAGACGCUAAUGGUGGUAGCGACAUUGCUAGCAACCAUGGCAUUCCAAACCAGUAUUACCCCGCCUGGUGGCCUUUGGCAAGAAGAUUCCAAAGGCGAGAAGGGUGUUAAGGCACAUACUGCGGGUGAGUCCAUAAUGGCAGAUAGGUACCCAUCUCGUUACAAGUCUUUUGUAAUAUGUAACACUGUGAGCUUCAUCGCAUCGCUUAGCAUCAUUAUGCUUCUCGUAAGUGGUCUUCCUCUAAGGCAGCGUCGUAUCACCACGUGGAUUGCAAUGCUGACUACAUGGAUUGCGAUAACCUUCAUGGCGGCGACUUAUGCCAUCUCUUUUUCUGUCUUCACACCGCCGAAAGAACUGGAAACUUUCGUUGACGCAAUUGGAUGGGCAGUGCUGGCAUGGCUCGGAUUGAUGGCUCUUAUUUUCCUAUGGCACGUUGUUCGCUUAAUCGGGAAAUUAGUACGCCAAGUCCUAAAAUUUGUACGCAAAGCCUCAACAGAACACAACCGAGAGGGUCUUACGGUUUAGUGGUUGUAUAUCGCUGCAAAUUUGUUUGUUCUAGAAGAUGCACCCUGAGCCCCAACGCUAUGCAAGAGGAGAUGUUAUACGGUGCAUAUGUUGUUCGGUGCACUGAUUGGACAACUUAGCUAUGAUGCAUUCUAGUAUGGUAUGUGCUUGUGAAAACAUUAAGCGUGUUGAAUCUAUUUAAAAUACGGUGUUUAGAUGUAUAAUGGAUUGUUGUUUUACUUGAAUUGAUUUGGAGCAGUUACAAUAUGACUUGUUGGAUUCAAAGUCCAAAAUUCUUAGCUGUUGGAUCAAUUUUAAUAAUUGUAACCUGAAAUUGACAAUUAAGGAAAUUUGUUCCAGUGGAACUGUAAAUUUUACGCUUAAGGAAAAUCAUCGUAAGGAUUAUGGGUGCGUUUGAUUUAGUAUUUUGAAAGUCCAUCAUGAAAAUGCAAAGUAGUUUAGCAUAAAGGACUUUGGGUAAAUGUAAAGGUCGUUUGGUAAAAUAUAUUUUGAAAAACAACUUUGAGAGAAAUGUCGUUUAGUAGAAAACACAUUUGAAAAGCCUUUUGAGUGAGUAAUAUCCACAACUUCAUAUUAUGACAAAAUAGUGGAGGUUGGCCACAAAGAUUUAAUCUGGAGAUCUUUUUUACUUGCCGGUGAAGUGAAGAAGACUAUAAAUAGCUUCACCAUUAUUUUUCAAGCUGUAGCUCAAAAAAGAAGAUGAUGGAUAGUGAUUUAAAUUCAGCUAGCAAGUGAUGUGAAUUUAUUGUUGAUGUGGAAUAGUCAUGUUGGACAAUUAAGAUUUCAAGUCUACAAAACUAGAUUUAAGAUUUAAGUGAAAGUUGAAUUUUUUUAUAAAACGAAGAAAAAAAAUUUAGAGCAGACUUGACUUUAUUUUUUUUAGCAGAGUUGUCAUUUAAGGUAAAGUUUAUUUCGAUUGCAAAAAGAAGAAGAUUCCACCAGGAAUUACGCCUCUCUCUCUCUCUCUCUCACUCUCUCUUUGUGUGCGCGGCUAGAAUGUCGGAUUAACAAGUUUUCCUUUUUCCUGUUGUUGCUUUUGUAUUAGCAUUAGCAUUAAAAGUUUAAAUUUCUAGAUAUCUCAACAAUUAAAUUAAUGGAUACUUUUGUUGUUUAAAUAAUCACAAUAUUCUCCAUUUAGGAAAACUUAAAGUAAGCUCUUGUAGAAGAACUUAAUGUCAAAUUUAAGAAGCCGCGUUGAUAUGUCUUUUAUUAGCAAAAAGAAAAUUUCAAAGUCAGCUUAAUUAAUAUAUCUAAAUGAAACCAAACUAUGUAUCUCAGUGGUAAGUUAAUUUGAUUUCUUGCAUAUUGUUCUGUAAUAAAUUGUUAUUGACUAGAUAAAAUAUUUAAACAAAUGUUAAUAUUCAUUUUUACAUUGAUUUUUGAAUUUUUACUAUCACAAUACAUUUCUUAAGAUCCAUUUAUUUUGCGAAAAUAUUUCUAUUGAAAAAAAUUCUCCAAAAAUUUUCAGUGUUUAGAUUGCCUAAGAAAAUGAAUUUAAUAUAAAGUAUUCUCACAGUUAGGGGAAAAUUUAUACUUAAAUUCAAUAUAAUGAAUUCUUUAAAAAAUUAUAAAACAUUUUUAGAAAUAUAGCAAGACUCGGGCACUUGGAGUUUUCUGAUUAUUCCUUUGAGAUAUUUUCAAUUGUAUUGUAAAAAAUGAAUUGCAAUUUUCUUUGGGACAGGGGGUCUCUACAUAGCAUUUCUUAUUCCUUGGGCACCUAGAUAUUUCCAAAGUGUCACUUGCAUUGAAAAUAGGAAAAAUUCCAAAUAAGAGCUUCAAAUGCUCUUUAUCUUCUUAAAUAAAGACUUGAAGUGGACAUUAUUUCAAAUAAGGGCUCGAAGUGCCUCUAUUUUCUUAAAUAAGGGCAUAAAGUGCCAUAUCAAUUUUAAAAAGGGCUUGAAGAGAAAUUUUGCCUUUUAAAAUUUUUAUUUUUUUCCUUUUAUUCUUUCUUUAAUCUUUUUUUUCUUUUCAUUAAAAAAAAAAAAGGAAAACAAAGGUGGGAGGGAGCCUCUCUCGCUUGUGGCCAUCGCCCCAUUACCGGUGGGGCAACAAUGGCAAUGGGGGGAGUGCCCAUAUCAGUUUUAAAAAGGGCUUGUAGGGAAAUUUUUCCUUUUAAAAUUUUUAAUUUUUUUCUUUUAUUCUUUCUUUAAUCUUUAGAACGCAAUAUAUAUGAUAUUUGUGCCACAAUGUGUAUAAUUUAGGGUUUUUGAUUGUAUCUUUCCAUAUAUAUACUUUUUACAUACAAAAUGGACUAGGCCUAGACAAAUUAAGAUCAAGAAAACAACCACAUGCGCAGCCUCCCCUAUUUGCACUUCAAGCUUGGGCGUAGAAUUACCUCUCUUGUCAAAAUUUCACGUCUUAAUUAUGAUUCGAAGUUUCAAUUUAAAGUAUAGUCUUGACACCUUUGAGUCUAAUAUCAUUUUCAGAAGCUUGGGACGAUUAUAGAAAGUAAAUAAAAAAAAGGGUCGAUUACAGGGAAAAAAUGGAUAAUGAAAUAGUGUCUCCCCAAAUACUGUUUUCGUCAAAUAAGGAGGAAAAGAAGGAAAAAAGAAAAAGAAAAGAAGUAAUGAAAAAUUCAAAAAAAUAAUGAUGUAUUAAGUAGAAAUGUCCACAUGAGUAAUUUCCGGCCUAAUAUGGUUGGAUUAGCUCAAUUGGUAUCAAAAUGAAAAGUUUAGAAUUAAAUUGAUCUAAUUAAAAAGUUUAGGACUGAACUAGUACAAAUGCAAUAAAUUUAUGACUUUUUUGGUACAUUUUCGCAUAGUUGGUCCCUAUAGUGUUUUUCCGAGAUGUGCCCCGCUCCCUGUAGACUUGACUUUUGACAAACCAAUGAUAUGCUAGUUUUCUUGUUACAAUAUUAGUCCUUGGUUUUUCCAGGAUUUCGCUUUUGGUCCUUGACUAUUAGGAGUGAGCGCGGUUCCCGGUUCUUAAAUGACCGGUUCCAAUUCCCGGUUCCAUUUUUCCGGGAACCGGUGAUCACGAUUCCGAAAUCGGAAUCGGUCGUGGAAUCGGAACCGGAACCAGUUGCGGAACCAGUUUCGGAAUUGGUUAAGGUUCCAAAAGGAACCCCCCUCCCCCGAGACUCCCGAGACUCCUGACCCUUUCACUUUUAGUUUUUCAGAGUCUCACCGGACGCUGCUCACCCUCAAGGCCACCGUUGCUGGAUGUCGUUGGAUGCCAAUUGCUGAUGUCGCUCGCACGAACCCUCGCCAGUCGCCGCCGUGCUCUGCCUCUGCCCAUUGCUGUUGUGCUCUGCCUCGACGCCUGUCGCCAACUACCCGACGCAGGCAGAUAUGAACUUUUAUCGCUGUUGAUUUGAUGAUCUAAAAGUGAAUCAUUUCUUUAAAUGUGCGCCGAAGCCCCUCGGCUGUAAUGUAUGUCACCUGUUCGAUGAUUUACCUCAGUGACCUCCAUAUUGAUUUACUCACACCAUUGAUCAAUUAGGAAGUUACUAGUCCGACUUGAAUGUUAUUGCUUGAGACACUGACCUUGCAACAUGAUGACCACUCUGUUCUAUAGAGUCCUUCAAUCUAGAUGCUCUGAUUUGUUCAGUUCGACUUUGAUUUCGACGAUUCGAUUCUUAUCAUGUUUGAUUGAGUUGUGCUUUCGCAAAUAACCAUGCAUGAAUUUUUAGGAUGCACCUAGGGUAUUAAAAUGAACAGACCAUAUGAUUCAUGUCUUUGAAAUAAAACAAUUUUGGAUACUGAAAGAGGCUAACCAAAAAUGCUAGCACAAUCAAGUCCCUGACUCUAAAUUUCUUGUUUUGUAGGAUGAGAUUUCGCUUGGCUUUUAACUGAUUUCAAUAGAUUAGUGGCAACUUCCAUUAGGUAAAAUUAUCUCAUUAAUCAUUCGAAUAUAUCUCCCAACGUUGCGCAUCGUAGGGUUUCAGAAAACCACACCAAGUAAGAGUAAGCACCUAGAGUGAUUGCACGUUCCUAUUCAACAACCAGAUAAAAUCACUUGGCUCGCUCAAGCACGACAUUUAUAAAUUAUUGAUAAAUAUAUUAUUUAUAGCAGUUCAUUUCAAAGUCUUUGAGUAUUAAGUUUACCCAAUUCGUUUCUCUAGAUAAACGUCAUGCGUAGAGUGGGCAAAACAAAGCUGGUCGAGCAGCAUAAACAGAUUGCUGGUGGCAAACAAAAUAAAGCCCUCUGAAAAUUAUAUAGAGCAAGAGCAUCUAGUUGGAGACUUGUAGAGAAGUUCUUCGAAAGGAUUGAUCAUGAUGUUCCCAUUGUCUGCAGUCAUUGAAUACGGUAUUGACCGACAGAACUGAUAUUGACCUUGAUUUUUGCUGACAUACCACAAUUGAAGAUACUUCUGAGAAAAUAAUGAAGAUAUAAAUAAAGGUUGCUCGAUUCUCAUCAAUUAAAUUUGAAUUUUUAGCCUUUAAAAGACUUGUACAUGCCUUUCUGGGCGGUGAAAACAUUGUGGAAAGCACUACAUAAAUUUUCACAAAAACGAUGAUAGGAUGACAAGCAAUCUAUGAAUGAAAAUGUCAACAAAUACCUGGUUUGAUCAACCGGACUUGAUCGACCGAAAAUGAACGUAGUGCAAACUCAAAGGAAAGGACAACACACCAAAUUAUGAUGAACACUCAUGAUUAAAGACAGAUCACAAAUUAUGGAGUCCAUCCUGAAAACCACUUCCCAGGAGAUACCUAGUAAGAAACAUCCAAGUAUCACCGAUCUUCGGAUCAAUCAUUUCUUCGCUUGGGUAGAUCUUAUUUGCUUCGAACGUCUGCAGAAAAAUUUCUCAAUUAAUUCUGGCUGGACUGAUUACGAACUCUGUUGGACACUUCUUGGUCUUUCCAUUGCUUGUACGAGCUGACCAGGCCUCCAUACGAAGGAUCUACUAACUUUGAGCAGUUGAAAAUGGUUAUGCAGCACCUGUCUCGUAUUUUCGAGUUGAAGACAUUAGAAAAACUUUCCAAUGACCUGCAACGGUUAAAAUCCAAUCUUUUGAGAGUCUCCAGUUCAUCCAGUCCCUUAACCACCAGAAGCUCUUCACAUCCUCGAAUUACCAAGUACUCCAGCCUUUUCAAAUUCGAUAGAUCAUCUAGACUUUCAAUCUUAGGACAUUCUUUUACUUCCAAUUGUUCCAACGACUCCAUGGAACCAAGACCUUGGAUCGCAGUUAGAUUUGGGCAACCAAUCAGCUUCCACAGUUUCAACCUCUUCAACCUCGAAAGGCCAGCAAAUCUCUCGAGGAGUUUUAACCCCUCCACUUCAAAAUCAAUCAACUGUUCAAGCCCAUCAAGUUGAACUUCCUUCCAACGACAUUGAUAAAUACGCAAACGAGUCAAGUUUCUCAAGUUGCAAUGAAAUGACAAACUGGUUAUUAAUUCAUGAUAUUCGAGUGACAAUAUUGACAGAGAUGGUGGAAGGAACACAAGAGAUUGUCGACAUUGUCCAUCUUGGAUGAACAAAGGAUGACAGUUCUCAUCAUGACCACCAUAAUUCAAUUCCGCCAAUUCAGUUAGGUUUGAAAGAUCCGGGACAUACCGGAGCAAACUGGAUCCAAAGCUUAGGCUUAUCAAGCUUGUGGGAAGUUUAGGCAAUACUUCAAGUUUCCUGCAUUGCCAUAAACUCAAUUUCUCUAGCUGAGGAAGUAGUUGGAUUGUCGCUGGAACAUUUCUAAUACGAGUUGCUUGCAAGUCAAGGACUCUCAAAAGCAAUAAUUCGGAAAUGCCCUCAGGAAUUUCCCACUUUAGAGACGAGCAAUCCCUGCCAUGUAGCUCUUCCAACUCUUGUAGCAUGACAAUACUCCUCGGUAACUCCCUUAUCCAAGAAUUCGAAAUAUUGAUGACUUUCAAUCUACCUAGGCCUCCAAUAGAUUCGGGUAACCGCAAACAUCGUGUUCCUGAGACAUCCAACUCGAGUAGCGAUUCCAAGUUCCCAAUCGAGACAGGAAGCUUCUUUAUUUUAGUACGUGAUAGAAAGAGAAACUUAAGUUCCCUUAGAUUUCCAAUAGAACUAGGAAGUUCAUCGAUUUGUGUUGAUUGCAGUUUAAGAAUGGAUAAGUGCUUUUGGUUACCAAUGGAGACAGGUAAUCUUGUGAUGGCCGUAUAUGAGAGAUCCAACUCUACCAGUGAUGCCACUCUUGCAAAUGAUUCAGGUAGCUUCCUCAACUUUCUGCAGUUGCCUAAAUACAAGUACUCGAGUUUCUCCAACUGUCCGAUUCCUUCAGACAACUCUGUAAGAUUUGUACACCCAUCCACAUUGAAGAAAAUUAGGCACUUGAGCUUUUCGAGGGAACCAUCAACAUCAAUCAGUCUUCUGCAAUUUUUUAGAAUCAAUCUCUCUAAACUCAAAUAACCAGAAAAGUUUGGAGUCCUAGUCAUGUUGUUGCAGUUUGAGAGAUCCAGAACUUUCAACUUCUUGGCAACCUGUUAAAAUAGUUCAAACAGAUCAUGGCGAAAUUCCAUGCAAAUUUAGAGGCAAUGAAUGGUUAUGUUGGAACUAAGUUGUAGUUGGGUUGACUCGUUUUUGCCUUUUAAACCCCAUAGACCCAAUCAUUUUAGUAUGAACUCCUAUCCAACUUGAUUCACACAUAUCCACCUAUAUAGCAAUUCAACUUCUUCCCCACAAUACGUAAUAAUAAAAAAAUGGCCGUGAUUAUGAGACCAGCUUAGUGUUAGUUGUGACAGGACUUGAUUAUUCCAUUUACGACGUAUUUUAUUCACAACAUGUUAUAGUCUAUGUAGUUAUUUUAUAGUCAAUAGGAGUUCCAAAAAUUAAAAUAAAAAACUCUGUGAGAGAUAAUCAAUUGAGAUCUAGAUAAACAAAUAGCAAGAUACUAUACCUUAAUUUGACUCCAUCCAGCCCAGUCCUCCGCGAUGGCACUAUAAGACAAGUUGAGAACUACAAGAUUGCUUGGAUGAAAAUUGAUGGCCAAGAGCUGAUGAGGACACCUAUUCCAGGACAAGUAUCUUAACCCUGAAAGCUGCUUCUUAAAGUCUCCAACAAAGUAUCCCCCACGUAAUUUGAGGAACCUUAUGUUUGGAAGCCUUGAAAACUCUUCGCUUUUAUAGAUUUCUUGUGCAUUUCCUUCCAAGCAAACUGCUUCAAUGGUCUCCUUUCUCUGUCAUUCAAUGGUAAGGUAGCAUAAGAAUAAAUGAAAAAAGUCUUCAUCCUCUCUCUGCCUAUUAAAAAGGGCUCCCAAUUAAUAAAUGAACCAUCAAGAGAAGCAUGGAAUUCGACAGUCAAACAUAUGGUCUCACCUCUUUGGUUCUAAUGAUUUUAACGGCUGUCUCAGGAAUCCACAACCUGCUCUGCUUUCUUGGAUCCAUCAGCCUUGUAUCUUCCCAGAUGAUUUUCCUCCCGAGAUCUCUCAAUUGGUCGUGCAUCCAGAAUUU